rnacentral:tRNA from 1 species
UCGGGCUGUAGCGCAGUGGUUAGCGCGCUCGGUUCGGGACCGAGAGGCCGGCGGUUCAAAUCCGCCCAGCCCGAA